CAAUCGGCCCUUUUGGGGGCCAACAAACGUUCUUGAAAGAGUUUAU
rfam:Aedes aegypti strain Liverpool supercont1.37 genomic scaffold, whole genome shotgun sequence.